rnacentral:misc_RNA from 1 species
UUUCCGUAGGUGAACCUGCGGAAGGAUCAUUGAAUCUAUCGUGCCCACACCGUGAACCAUUUACGCCCUCUCUGAAAGGCAAUUGCUGAAAGGUAAUUGCCGAGUGAGAGCGCAGGUCAGGGGCUGCAGCUCUUUGGCUGUCAGUUGACUUGGCUGGGCGGGUCCAAUACCAGUUGGGUUCCUCUUGCCUUUGGCUUGAGGUUGCCAGCUGUGAGGGGUGGCUUGAAAAACUUUAAGCAAUUUAUCUGAAGACAGACUGCUAGCUGGCUUGCUGGCUGCAGACUGAAAUAAUAAAGACAACUCUCAACAACGGAUAUCUUGGCUCCC